CAGUCGCCGCGGUAAUACGAAGGGGGCUAGCGUUGUUCGGAUUUACUGGGCGUAAAGCGCACGUAGGCGGACUUUUAAGUCAGGGGUGAAAUCCCGGGGCUCAACCCCGGAACUGCCUUUGAUACUGGAAGUCUUGAGUAUGGUAGAGGUGAGUGGAAUUCCGAGUGUAGAGGUGAAAUUCGUAGAUAUUCGGAGGAACACCAGUGGCGAAGGCGGCUCACUGGACCAUUACUGACGCUGAGGUGCGAAAGCGUGGGGAGCAAACAGGAUUAGAGACCCCAGUAGUCCCUGUCUCUUAUAC
rnacentral:rRNA from 1 species